rnacentral:rRNA from 1 species
UACGAAGGGGGCUAGCGUUGCUCGGAAUCACUGGGCGUAAAGCGCACGUAGGCGGAUCUUUAAGUCAGGGGUGAAAUCCUGGAGCUCAACUCCAGAACUGCCUUUGAUACUGGAGAUCUCGAGUCCGGAAGAGGUGAGUGGAACUCCGAGUGUAGAGGUGAAAUUCGUAGAUAUUCGGAGGAACACCAGUGGCGAAGGCGGCUCACUGGUCCAUUACUGACGCUGAGGUGCGAAAGCGUGGGGAGCAAACAGG